rnacentral:rRNA from 1 species
UGAGGAAUAUUGGUCAAUGGGCGCAAGCCUGAACCAGCCAUGCCGCGUGCAGGAAGACGGCUCUAUGAGUUGUAAACUGCUUUUGUACGAGGGUAAACCUACUUACGUGUAAGUAGCUGAAAGUAUCGUACGAAUAAGGACCGGCUAACUCCGUGCCAGCAGCCGCGGUAAUACGGAGGGUCCAAGCGUUAUCCGGAUUUAUUGGGUUUAAAGGGUGCGUAGGCGGUUUUAUAAGUUAGAGGUGAAAUCCCGUAGCUCAACUACGGAACUGCCUCUAAUACUGUAAGGCUAGAGAAUGGUUGCUGUGGGCGGAAUGUGUAGUGUAGCGGUGAAAUGCUUAGAGAUUACACAGAACACCGAUUGCGAAGGCAGCUCACAAAGCCAUAUCUGACGCUCAGGCACGAAAGCGUGGGGAGCAAACA